GUGUGCUUAACCAAUAUCAUAAGCAUCAAUUAUUUUGGAAUAAAACAAAAUAAAAUCAACCACAUAAAAAAACUUCUAUCAGAAAGCAUUUGGUACAGAGUUUGCUGGAAAAUUCCUCAUGUUUCAUGUCUCCUUUUUUUGAUCCCAUUUUUGAUUGACAGUGGAUGGAGGUGGUCAAUAUACCAGAGCGCCAUGAAGUGACAAAGAGCAUUUCUUGAAGAAAAUCUCAGCAGAGUGAUGGGUGAUCAUUUGGUUCGAUAACACCAAAGGCUGGAUGAAUUCACCCAGAGAGGACCGUAAUGAAAAUCUGAAAUAACCUUUAUAAUUUUCAAGUGAGGAAAUGAAGGCCAAACAUGAGAGGCUACAAUAAGAGUA